rnacentral:rRNA from 1 species
AUUGAACGCUGGCGGCAUGCCUUACACAUGCAAGUCGAACGGCAGCGCGGGGGCAACCUGGCGGCGAGUGGCGAACGGGUGAGUAAUAUAUCGGAACGUACCCUGGAGUGGGGGAUAACGUAGCGAAAGUUACGCUAAUACCGCAUAUGAUCUAUGGAUGAAAGCAGGGGACCGCAAGGCCUUGUGCUCCUGGAGCGGCCGAUAUCUGAUUAGCUAGUUGGUGGGGUAAAGGCCUACCAAGGCAUCGAUCAGUAGCUGGUCUGAGAGGACGACCAGCCACACUGGAACUGAGACACGGUCCAGACUCCUACGGGAGGCAGCAGUGGGGAAUUUGGACAAUGGGCGCAAGCCUGAUCCAGCAAUGCCGCGUGAGUGAAGAAGGCCUCGG